UCCCAAGGCCCUUUGUCUGCAAGGAAGGA
rnacentral:piRNA from 2 species